rnacentral:snoRNA from 1 species
GCAAGGAUGAUGACUGAAACUUUUUUCCCCAGCAUAUCGACAAUGCUGAGCUAAUUGCUUAAGCCAAACAAGUCUGACUUGC